rfam:Xenopus laevis strain J chromosome 6L, whole genome shotgun sequence.
UGCAGCCUUGUCAAAUUCAGCAUCUCCUGACCCGUGGCUGAUGCUGGCCUAAAUGGCUGCUACAGGAUCCCUGCAGCUCAUGGGCCUCACUCCUAUAUCUCUAGGCCGUGGGGAUAAGUGUGCGCUGCAGACAAGA